AGAAAACAAAGCUCAUCAAUGAAGAGAGUUGCAAGCCUGGCGCCACCUAGCGGCCCAAUCUGACCUCACGUUAUUGUAUUUUCCUGAAGAGUUUGGUUACGCUGCUUGUCACUAGAGGCUUUUGCUCUUAUUCACCAAACAGAUCUUUAUUAAGCGUCUACUGUAUGCAAAUCAUUGCUGGUGUGAAACAAUACAGAAAAGAAUUGAGUCAAAAAAAUUACCUGCUUCUCUUGGAGACACGUCCCGCCUUACCUUUGUCUCUUAGAUAUCUAAUUUGAAAAGUUGUACAUAUUUGACUCUUGUCAGAAUGAGGUGAACUCCCAGAUGAAGAUCUGCAAAGAAGAGUUGGGGUAAAUGUUGACAAGGUACUAGCACGCGGCAGCGGCCACACCCCGGGCAAUGGCUUCGACAGGCCGGCCAAACCUUGUGAGGGUAGCCAUCGGGUCGACGUUGAUCCCUAGUGAACCAGGGCUUUGCUCACCCAGCAUGUGAAGACUGCUUUGGCUGAACAGAUGGAAGAAACAAAUAAGAAGGUUCAACGGCUGAGAUGGCCACGCAGCAAAGCACUGUGGAGUGCUUAGGGCGUGUUGGAGCACAAAAGACAACAUGGCCAUCCAAUGCAGCUGAGGAAGUCUCCAGGUGUAACGACUUUUUGUGCCAAUGGACCCAGGCUUCCAACGCCGAGAGAGUGGGACUGUCUCUGUGCAUCGACUUUUCCACUUAAAUCUUCAUACACAGGUGUCUUUGUGCACAAAAACGCACAAAGACAAUCAUCAUCCUCAGUUCGAGAGACAACCAACAACCACUAAUAGGUUUGUACCCCAAAGAGAAAAUACAAAAUGAUUGUACAAAAAUAUUCAUAGCCACACUCUGUGCUGGCAAAAAAUUGGAAAAGGGGAGGGGUCCCUCAAUUGGGGAAUGGCUGAACAAAUUUUGGUAUAGGAUGGUGAUAGAAUACUAUUGUGCUCUAAGGAAUGAUGUACUGCUUGAUUUCUAUAUGAACUAGGAAGACCUCCAUGAACUGCUAUGGAGCAAAAUGAGCAGAACCAGGAGAACAUUGUACACAGAAACUGAAACAUUGUGGGAUAAUCAGAUGUAACUGACUUUGCUACUAGUAGCAAUGCAAUGAUCUAGGACAAUUCUGAGGGACUUAUAAGAAAGAAUGCUAGCCACACUGAGUCAAAGAAUUGUGGGAGUAGAAAUGCAGAAGAAAAACAUAUGAUUUAUCAUUCGUUAAUAUGGGUAUAUGAUUUGGGGUUUUGGUUUUUAAAGAUUACUCUUGUUAAACUGGAAAAAACACAGAACUAGUCAGAAAAACCACCUUUUUAAUCAAGAGAGUUUAGUAUCAUUUCCUCAGGCCUCCACACAGUUAUGCCCUCAAAACCCACACAGAGCCUCAAGAUUCCCCAUGAAAAUUGGGGAACUGAGGAUGGGAGAGUAUAGCUGAUUGGCUUUACAAUGGCUACAAAGACAUGAGGAGUCCUAGACUGGAUUAUCAAGGAGAGGCUGAUGCUUUACAAUGGACGCAAAAGGGAAAGAUCCAGCCAAGAGCUGGGCUACUUUAGAAAGGACUUUGACACAAAGAGAGAAACUACCAGGACAAAAAAGGGUACUUAACAUCUGACUUAAUCUGUUAGGUUUAUUGUUAGUCUGAAACUUGUGAAGUUGGGACUUCCCUCUAGGAGAAAUUCUCCUGUAACUAGGUAAAACUUGAGGUCUUCAACUUUAAAGAUAACUAAACUUGUGAGUUUUCAGAUCCCAUCUGGCUACACUUUUGGGGGUUUCUAUAUUCCAAGUGGACACUAUUACAAAAAUGAAUAAUAUGGUAAUAGUUAUCAAGUGGUAAUACAUGUAUAAUCCCAGUGGAAUUGCUUGUCAGAUCCAGGAUGGGGGUGAAGGGAGGAAAAACAUGAAUUGUGUAACCAUGGAAAAAUAUUUUUAAAUUUAAAUAAAAACUUUUUUAAAGUA